rnacentral:rRNA from 1 species
GUGCGUAAUAGCUCACUGGUCGAGAGGUCCUGCGCCGAAAAUGUCCGGGGCUGAAACGCACCACCGAAACUAAGGGAUCCGUAAGGAUCGGUAGAGGAGCAUUGCAUGCGGGACGAAGCAGUACCGUAAGGAGCUGUGGACUGCAUGGAAGAGAGAAUGCCGGAAUGAGUAGCGAGAUGGAGGUGGGAAUCCUCCAGGCCGAAUAUCCAAGGUUUCCAGGGUAAAGCUGAUCUGCCCUGGGUAAGUCGGGGCCUAAGGUGAGGACGAGAGUCGUAGCCGAUGGACAACAGGUGGAGAUUCCUGUACUAUGAUAUGACAGAACUGUGGGGACACGUGCAGAGAGCGGAAGCCGGGAAUGGGAUCCCGGUGCAAGCGAGGUACCAGUCACAUUGGAAAAACCGUGUGGCAAUGGGAAGACGUGAUGCGGAGUGAAGUUUAGUAAUGAAGUCCGUGAGCUGUGCGUCAAGAAAAGCCGCUAUUGUUCAUACCAUACCCGUACCGUAAACCGACACAGGUGGAUGAGGAGAGAAUCCUAAGGCCGGCGGAAGAAGCAUUGUCAAGGAACUCGGCAAAAUGACCCCGUAACUUCGGGAGAAGGGGUGCCUGCGAGAGCAGGCCGCAGAGAAUAGGCUCAAGCAACUGUUUAGCAAAAACACAGGUCUAUGCAAAACCGAAAGGUGAGGUAUAUGGGCUGACGCCUGCCCGGUGCUGGAAGGUUAAGAGGAGAGGUUAGAGCAAUCGAAGCUUUGAAUUUAAGCCCCAGUAAACGGCGGCCGUAACUAUAACGGUCCUAAGGUAGCGAAAUUCCUUGUCGGGUAAGUUCCGACCCGCACGAAAGGCGUAAUGAUUUGGGCACUGUCUCAACAAUGCACCCGGUGAAAUUGAAAUACCAGUGAAGAUGCUGGUUACCUGCGCCAGGACGGAAAGACCCCAUGGAGCUUUACUCCAGCUUGAUACUGGGAUUCGGUAUUGCAUGUACAGGAUAGGUGGGAGGCCGUGAAGAGAGGACGCCAGUCUUCUUGGAGCCACUGUUGGGAUACCACCCUUGUGAUACUGGAUUUCUAACCAGCCACCGUGAUCCGGUGGUGGGACAAUGUCAGGUGGGGAGUUUGACUGGGGCGGUCGCCUCCGAAAGGGUAUCGGAGGCGGCCAAAGGGUUCCCCCGGAAGGGUUGGAACCAUUCCAAGAGGGCAAAGGGAUAAGGGGGCUUGGCUGGGAGA